rnacentral:lncRNA from 1 species
UGUGCCCUUUUAUAAUAGAAAAUAACAGAAGUGACAUACAAUCCAACCGUGGCCACACCAAAAGUCAACUAUUUUGCCAAUUUUAGAAAUGUUGUAAUCAUUUUAAAAACAAGAAACAGCAAUCUUCGUAUUCAUGAGCUUUCCAAGAAUAAAUAUGCCAAGUUUCAAAGAGAUCAAUAAAUGUUAACGGGGUGUGCCAAUGCGAUCUUUAUAGAUGAAUGAUAUUCAAGUCCUUACUCGGCGACAUUUAAACACUGAAUUGAUUCAGAUGGAUUAUUCCCCUUUUCGGUGUGAAAAUGCCGGGAAAGAAAUAAUCGACAUUUUGAUAGUUUCUGACUAGAGAUUAACACAUUAAAGAUGUAAAAUAAUGUUGUUUUUUUCACUUUUUCAUACUUGAGUUGUUC